GACGAACGCUGGCGGCGUGCUUAACACAUGCAAGUCGAACGAGAAGAGAUGAGAAGCUUGCUUCUUAUUAAUUCGAGUGGCAAACGGGUGAGUAACGCGUAAGCAACCUGCCCUUCAGAUGGGGACAACAGCUGGAAACGGCUGCUAAUACCGAAUACGUUCUUUUGUCGCAUGGCAGAGGGAAGAAAGGGAGGCUCUUCGGAGCUUUCGCUGAAGGAGGGCUUGCGUCUGAUUAGCUAGUUGGAGGGUAACGGCCCACCAAGGCGACGAUCAGUAGCCGGUCUGAGAGGAUGAACGGCCACAUUGGGACUGAGACACGGCCCAGACUCCUACGGGAGGCAGCAG
rnacentral:rRNA from 1 species